rnacentral:rRNA from 1 species
AUUGAACGCUGGCGGCAGGCCUAACACAUGCAAGUCGAGCGAGCGGCGGACGGGUGAGUAAUGUCUGGGAAUCUGCCCGAUAGAGGGGGCUAACUACUGGAAACGGUGGCUAAUACCGCAUACUAUCGGAUGUGCCCAUAUGGGAUUAGCUAGUAGGUGGGGUAAAGGCUCACCUAGGCGACGAUCUCUAGCUGGUCUGAGAGGAUGAUCAGCCACACUGGGACUGAGACACGGUCCAGACUCCUACGGGAGGCAGCAGUGGGGAAUAUUGCACAAUGGGCGCAAGCCUGAUGCAGCCAUGCCGCGUGUAUGAAGAAGGCCUUAGGGUUGUAAAGUACUUUCAGCGAGGAGGCGUUACUCGCAGAAGAAGCACCGGCUAACUCCGUGCCAGCAGCCGCGGUAAUAC